AGUCUAUUCAGAGGAACCUGUCCUGUAAUUGAUAAUCCACGAUGAACCUAACUUAAAUUUGUUUUUCAGUUUAUAUACCGUCGUUAUCAGAAUAUUUUAUAAGAAUAAUAAUUUUCUAUAAUUUUAAUAGGAAAGUAUAUCAGAUCAAGGUGUAGCUUAUAUUUGAGUAGAGAUGGGUUACAAUAAAUAUAUUUAAACGGAUCUAAUUUUGAAAUAUUUUUAGUGAAGGUGGAUUUGAUAGUAAAAUUUUAAAGAUUGUGAAUUUGAUUUUAGCUCUAGAAUAUGCACACAUCGCCCGUCGCUCUUACAAUUAAGGUAAGAUAAGUCGUAACAUAGUAGAUGUACCGGAAGGUGUAUCUAGAAUGA
rnacentral:rRNA from 1 species